CUGCGGCACACUCAGGGGCACAGAGUGGUCAUAGAAUCAGGCAAGCCUCGGGACACCCUGAAGAUUCUGGCUAACACAAUUCUGCACCAGCAUUGAUGAAGAAUACCACAUGCAACAUGAUCAAGAGCUUAGGAGACAGGAGGAAGAGAUUGAUUACAAGAUCACAGAAGCAGGAUGCUCACUGUAGAAUUAUGGGCAGAGUGAACGCUGGAUGGAUGGGAAGCAAUCUCCCCGUGAUGGAGCAACCUGGC